rnacentral:lncRNA from 1 species
CUUCCAUCAACUCUUCUCGGCCUUCCUUCUCCUUGUUUCCAGCAUUGCCCCAGCUCUUGGAACUGGGCAUCAGCAGUUCUAGGAAACGCUGCUCCUGAGUCAGGUUGCUCUGAGCGUCCGCUUCCUGCUAGCAAGUCACACAGAACAGAGCUCAGAGGCGAGGCUCCGGGUCAGCCUGCCUGGGCUCGGGCUCAGCUCUGCCGCUUCUAGCUGUGUCAUCUGGAACUUUCCUGAACUUUGGUUUCCUCACCUCCCAGAUGGCACACGGAAUUAAUCAUCCACGUGCUACCUAGAGUAACAAUAAGGUGAGGAAGAGGAGAGAAUUGACAUCCGUGGAGCCCUUACGGUGUGCCAGACCCCUCCUGAACGUGUUCCCUGUGCCCUAACUCCUGUAAUCCUCCAACAAGCCUGCAAGACAGGUGUUAUGGUGACGCCCCCUCCAUCUCACAGAUGAGCAACGUGAGGCUCAGAGAAGUACCAUAACGUGCCAAGUUCCUGUGGCUGACAAGCAGCAGAGCCAGGCUUUGAAGCCGGGUGGCUGUCUCCAGAGCACACGUGUUUAGUGACAGUGCCACACAAUCACAGCAAGAUGAAAGAGGCCAGCCCCCAGGGAAGAUAGAGCUCGUACAUAAGUUGUUCUCAUACAAGUUGGGGAAGUGAUAAGUGACCAAGGGAGAAACAGAUAAUAUCCCCUGGGAGUUCAGCUGAGGGGAACGUUACUUCCAGCUGGAAGGAGAGGGGUGUUUUAGGGAAGAAGUGACGUUUCAGCUGAGCCUUACAGGGCAGGCAGGAUUCGGACGGGUGGAGAUCUGGGGAGAGGGAGCAGCGGGGCUGCAUUUAAGGAGAGCACCUGGCUCUGCUUUGGGCGAGCUACAGGCAGCAGAGGAAAGAGGUGGAGCAGAGGGGAGACCAUGAGCCAAGCUGUGGAGGGUUGUAAACGCUCCUCUUAGACUGAUGAAGACAAUGGAAGGACACAGGACUGAGCUCUGGGAAUCCUAUGCAGACAGAUAACAGAAGCAGGGAGGGGGAAAGUCUGGAAGCCCGAGUGGCGUACCUGCAGGCAGGGGCAGGAACCCGCAUCACUGGACCCCGUGAGAGCCAGAGGAGCAAACUUUUGGGGACCCAAUCACCGGCAGAAAAAUGGCCCGGAGCUGGAAAGGAGCGAGAGGAGCCCACCUCAGAUCUCCUCCUGUGGCUUUCCAUGGGCAGAAGCCAGAGCCACCAGCAAGAAUGUGCCCGUGAAGGAGGCUGCAGGGCUCCUCUGCUGCCAGAGCCUCAAGAUGAAUGUAUCUUUGCCUUGGAAAAAACACAGAAACUAAACAAAGAUGGUGCCCAGCCAGCGUCCCCCCGCAUGAACUCCCAGCUCUGGGUUUCCACAGCCUGGUCUCCAUUCAACAGGUUACCGGGCAGCGGAUCACAAUGAUGGAUCGUGAAAGAAAUGAUACCACUCAAAGCCUUGUACAGCAGUUUCAUUAUCCUGCCGCAGGCUUCUGGCAAUUCCUCAAGUCUGCCUUGUUUCAUGUCUAAUUACAUAUUGCC